rnacentral:tRNA from 1 species
CGCGUCGUCGCUGAGCUGGCGGCUGCUGGCCCGGUACGGGCGGGCCGGAGUGGUCGGCGCGCUGCUCGGUUCGGUGCUGGCGACCGGC